rnacentral:lncRNA from 1 species
CAGCGAUGCCGCCGCCGGCCACAAGGUGGCAGUGCCGUGCUGCGUGGCUACACGCCCCUGGAAGCACCGGACCAGCCUUGGUCUGGCAAAAGUUUUCCAGUCUUUCCAGCAGAUGCGCCCAGGCCGUGAGCCCUCCCGGGCGGCCUGGAGGACUCCCGAAAGAAGCCUGGUGUAACUGAGUCUGGAAUUUUUGCUGGGCUUGCUAGGUCUACACUCUCCCACCUGUGCUCCGAGGAGAGGUGUAGACUAUCUCUUGGAUUUUGCUUGGAGGAUGUCCUUUCCGGACUCAGGACCUAGGAGAGACCAGCAGGAAACAGAACAGAGUCUACAUAGGUGAAUAUCAAAGAAUCACCUGGAGAGAUUUACAGGUGUGUCCUGGAUUUGGG